CAGUAGCCACGGUAAUACGGAGGGGGCUAGCGUUGUUCGGAAUUACUGGGCGUAAAGCGCACGUAGGCGGCUUUGUAAGUUAGAGGUGAAAGCCUGGGACUCAACUCCAGAAUUGCCUUUAAGACUGCAUCGCUUGAACGUCGGAGAGGUGAGUGGAAUUCCGAGUGUAGAGGUGAAAUUCGUAGAUAUUCGGAAGAACACCAGUGGCGAAGGCGGCUCACUGGACGACUGUUGACGCUGAGGUGCGAAAGCGUGGGGAGCAAACAGGAUUAGAUACCCCGGUAGUCCCUGUCUCUUAUAA
rnacentral:rRNA from 1 species